rnacentral:lncRNA from 1 species
CGACCGGAGUCCGGCGAGGACCGCCGGAGAAGAAGACAGAAUAUUCCGUUAUGUUUAACGGAAUAUUCCUGACGCCGUUAGGUUUCCGUCAGGAUUCCCUGCGCGUGGGCCGCGCGUAGGUCAGUGCCACCCACGGCGCGUGGGGGCGCGUGAGCCAAUAAAAAAUUAAUUAAAAAUUAUGUACGUAUUCGUGACGUCGAGUAGGUCACCGUGGUAUAUUCACAUACCCAAAUUGAGCAACGUAUGAGAAGUUAUUGACGUAUGUUUGUGUAUGUGCAUAUUAAAUAAUGUUUUAUAAUUAUUUUUGUAUAGGUGAAAAUUAUACGGACGAAGAACGUAACCAAAAUAGGCGAGGGGGUUACGAACCGGCUACUUAUCAGUGAGUGGGCAGUUAUUUUUCAGUAUAUAUAUAAGUAUACUUGACGUGUUUCCUAGAAAACGUAUAUUAAAUAUAAAUACGAAUUAAAUAACUUGUCAAAUAUGCAUUAUAUUUUGAUAUGUGCAUUACCAUAAUUAUACAUAUUGUUGGAUGGUGCUGAGGAGGCCCAGGUACGUUACAUGUGACAUAUUAUGUUGAAAAUGAAUGAAAUACUAUGGAAAUACGAUUAAGAUACGUUUGAAUAUUAUUGAAAUACAAUUGACAUACGUAUUAGAUACAUUUUAUAUACAUUUGAAAUACGUAUAAAAAUACAUAUAAUAUACAUUUGAAAUACGUACGAUAUGCAUUUGAUAUACGUAUAAUAUACAAUUGAAAUACGCAUGAAACGUGAUUGAGAUAUGUAUGAAAUAUGAUUGAGAUAUGUAUGAAAUGUUAUUGAGAUAUAUUUGAGAUAUGUUUGAGAUAUAAUUGUGACAUGAUUCGAGAUAUAAUUGUGAUACGUUUGAGAUACUAUCCUGAUAACGAUCAUGAGAUAUAGUUGAGAUAUGUUGAGUUAUAUGAUUGAGAUGUGAUAGAAAGCUCAUUUACUUGCACACGUAUAUAAGUGCUCCCGCCUAGAGAGAGGCAUAGCCUUCACGUGUAUGUUCACCUCCCACACCGCAUGCUCGCCUUGGAUCCAAGUAGGUGUAUAGCCUGUCGUAUAGACCACUUAUGUGGGUUUGACUUGUAGGUGACCCGCGAUUUAUCGCACAGCUUCACGUGAUUGUAGCACUAGAGCAUAUUAUGAUAUAUACAGUGAUGAGAUGCAGACCACGUGAGGUGGUACUGAAUGUGUACAAGAUAUACAGAUUUAUACAUGAUAUGAUGAGAUGAUUAUGAGCUAUAUAGGCAGCCGAGGGCUGAGUUAAUUAUGAUAAGUUGAUUAUGAUGAAAGAAUACGAAUUAUGUUGAUAGUUGAGCGUUGAAUUGGCUUUUAUGUUAUUCUAUCAUAUUCACUUAGAAAUGUUGAGCAUUCUAUUAUGAUACUUUGGCAUGGCAUACGUUCAUAUUAUUCAGCAUGAUUUGAUAUAUAUUAUGUAUAUGAAUAUAUACUUUAUUACUGGGAAACUUAUACUUGUUUUACAGCGAGGGGUUAGUAUAUUCAAAAGAGAAAAGAAGGUUUCGAAUAAGUUCGUUUUGCUGACCCACUCAACUUUGUUUUGCGCCCCUCCAGGUUUUAGAUAACGUUCAUCAGUGAAUCUCGAGGUGUCCAGCUGAAAGUUCUGACAAAUCACCACUCAUGUAGGAUCAUCGUCGAGUGUUGUUAAAUACGUACAUUUUAUGUUUGACUGCACUUAGACUUUAUGCUCUGGUUAUGUAAUCACACUUAAACUCAAAUUAGAACCUAUCGUAUUUGGUUUUAAUUUAUUCGUAUUUUCCUUAUAAUUUAACGCUUCCGCACAGCGCACAUGGCUACGUCACGUUCACGUGACGGCCAGCAUUCCUUGACUACGGUCGGGGCGUGUCAUAAGUCAUAAAGCCAUGCAAGUGGAAAUAGGUUGGUGUGAAUAAAGCCAUGCAAGUGGUGUGUGUGUAAGAGAAGUACUUCUUACACACCCAUCACCAUUUCUAUCACCUUUCAAAAAUUUCAAUAAAUGUUUUGUUGAUAGAUAAGUCACACCCACCAACACAAAACAAAGACUAUAUGAAAUUAACCAAAACUUUGAAUCAAAACACCAAACCUUUUUGUUCUUGGUAAGAACAUCAAGAACAAUGAAGAACAUCCAUGAAAACCCGUAAGAGCUCCAUGAAUGUUUUCAAGCAAUAAAACUCAAAUUUUCACUACUCAAAAUGGGGUUAACAUCCUAGGGUACUUAGGGGUUCCAAAAGUCACUUUAAAACACUUUUAACAAGACAAACAUGAACCCAAAAAAUCACCCUUUGGAUUUGGCCGAAAAUCCCCAAAAAACAUGGCACCAAAUUUUAGCUCCAAAAUUCAUGCUCAUAUGAACUACAUCUACAACAUUUGAGAUGACAAAUUUUCUAACAAAAUUUACAUUCAAAGAAGCAAGAAUAAAGCUUGUAACAAUUACAACAUUCAAAUCAUAAACUAUGAGCUACAAAACCCAAAAGGAUUCACCAACUACUAGACCUAGGCUCUGAUACCACUUGAAGGAAAUUUUGUGAAAAACAUGUUCAUUUAAGCAACAUCUAUAGCAUGCAAUUAACAAAUUAAAGGCGGAAUCAUGCUUGUAUGCACUUAAAAACAAAACAUUAACCAUGAAAUUCAAAGCCUAGUAGUUGGGUGAACCAAGACUCAACUCAAAACAAAGUGAAAAUUUUAUACCUUUGUUGAUUCCUCUUUGCAUAAGCAAAGGAUAAUCACCCAAGAGAUAGGGCCUUCAUUCCUUGCUUAGAUCCAUGGAUUUGGAUGGAAGAAUAGGUUUCUCCAAGUUCUCAAAAAUUGAGAACCUCUAAGUCUCCACACCAAGGUAAGAUUUUAGGAAAAAAUGAGUGACCUAGAGGAAGUAAGAUUACUAGCUAUUUCCUCUAGGGUGGCCGGCCUCUUUAGAGAGAAAAGAGAGUUUUUGUUCUCAUCUUUUCUCCAAAAGAAACCCUAAAUGAAUUUUGGCUAUAAAGUCAUAUUUAUACCUACAUUCAUUGGAGUGGCAAACUUGUAAUUAAGUCCAAAACCCACUCCUUUAUCAAUAUGGCCGGCCAUAGGGUUUCAUUGGGCUUUUUAGGCCUUUGUGAAUUAUUUGUCAUUAAGUUGUCAUACAACUUAAGUCAAUGUGUUUGACGUUCGAAGCCCAUUGGGCCUUGAGGCCCAAAACUAACCCGUGGUCUUUUAACGAACUUUAUUCGUUUGAUUAAUUAACAUAUUAAUUAAUCCUUGCCAUAAAUAAAUAAUUAAACCAUUUAAUUAUCCUUACUCAUCUCCGUUGUUUCUUCAAUCUCUACCUUACACGGUGUACGAUCCAUUAGGUUCCUUUUAGCGAGGCAGUGGGCGAUUAGAACUCUUUCAAAUCGAUUGUGAAUUGAAACUUACUUUCAAUUCUCCCUUUAGUGAUUAUACACGCUUAGGGCUUCCACAAACCAUGAGUGACACCUAGCAGUAUUUCAUGGUUACCCAAGCUAAUCAGAAGAGGUGGAGAACCUAUUCAGUUUAGGAUUACAAUGCAAUACGGUCUUUCUCUAAUACAAUACUCUUGAUCACAUUGUUUGGAUUGAUAGUUUAUUCAUGUCCACUAUCCAAUGUGAUUCAUUUACUUAUAUGAUUACCUUGAAUGUGAUUUGGAAUGACUUCCUAAAUCUCAUUCAUACUCUGGCCAGAGAUUCUUAAUCAUAUCAUAGAGUAUUCUCCCUCAAACGGUUUGAAGGUUAGAGAUCCCUUGUUGCGUAUUCACUUGCCUCCAUGGCUAAGUGGCUUAACCCCAACUAUGCCGUGGACACCCGCGAAUGGAGUGACUUUGACAUAAUCAAAGAUCAAGGACCUAACCACAAGACAACUAUAAUGCCUCAGGUCAAAGGACUACUUUGCAUUAUCCCAACCAUGAGUUCUCAUGUGACAUGAGUAUGAGAACUCUUCGUUGAUCGUGUUCAGUGGACUCAUUCGCUAUUGAGCACCUACAUGCUUGUCUUGGUGUCAAUCACACCAAUGACUCGAGACCAGUCACUCUCUAUGAGAGAAGACACAGCACGUACUGAUCUUAACGGACUGUCAAUGCCCAAUUGGCAAUCCUAUGAUCAGGAAUGUUUAGGAUAUGUAUACGAAAGAGAAUGGUCUCAUAAAUCUAACUUGUUUAAAUUUCGUUCUCCUAAUUACAUAUUCCUUGGACUUAUCGUUUAAGCAUAUAACAUUUAUAUGAGACGGCUUAAAACAAUAAUCUUUGCCCUUGAUAUUAAACUAGAUUAGUUUAACAUGUGAAAUGUCUGUAAAGUAUCAUCACAUGAUUGGUUUUAGGGCACAUUUCCAACAAUCUUAUCCAAACUAACCUUAUCUUAUCUUAUCCUACCUUAAUUCUAGUUGUAAGGGGGAAUCAAUUUCAUAUUAGAUUACCUAAAAACACGGUUCUAGAAGCCCUAUCACCUGUCCUAGAUUGGUGCCGCACCCCUUAUCCCUUUCUUUCUAGAAACAUGCCACAAACCCUUUCUAGAAGCCUUAUCUCUUAUCCCUAAAAGUGUGCCACACUUAGCCUUCUAGAAGUGAUGUUUCCUGCAGCAAAGACCAAUCCUUUUCCUCCCUGGAAUUUGAAAUAGAAGAGUCCUUUUUCCUUGAUGAUUUGGAGUCCUAAUUCCUCUCCUACUCACCCUAACCGUGCCUUACUUUCUCCCUAUAAAUAUAUAGUGUAGCAGCACUUAGAAGACAUCCACCUUUCACCACAAAUUUGUACCAUACAUCCUUUAUAUACAUACAUCCCUCUAAUGCCGCAAUUUUAGAAGGAGAAAGGAGAGGAGACCCUUGGAGCCGUGCCUGCCAUUCAAGACCCUUGGAUUGUUGGAGCAUUUCUAGGUGUAUUCUAUCUUUUGUUUCAAUGUUUAAAUUUAAUUGGGAACAUAAGGAUCUAAAUUCGUUAUAGUUUGAGGUGAAUUCAAAGCCAUGAACAUAUAUGUGAUAUGAAUUAAUUACAUCCAGUUAUGAUUUCAUAAAUCGUGAAUGCAAUUUGCUUAACUGUUUGAUUGAUAACUUAUUCUUGUGUGCUAAUUAAGGAUGGAUACUUAGUUUGCAUGCAGGGAUUUGAUGCUAAGAUAAAAGGGAAUUUCACCUAAUCGUUAUGAACUUAUAUUCACAAGUAGUAAAAGUCACUAGUCAUGAUUGUGUUGAGUGAAUUCUUGGCAGAGUAUCAUGCAGUUCAUAGUUAUGAAUGCCUUGUCAAUGCUUAUGAUUUUCAUAUAACGUAAUGACCUUUGAUAUGUAUCUCUAUUAUGCAGUUCAUGUAGGGAACUUGAUAAGAAUAAUUUGGUUGUGUCGUUGAGUCCAAUUCAAUGAAUUUAGGAAAAUCUGAAAGUUAAUUUGUGCUUCUCACGAUUAAUUUGGGGCAUUGUCAUUCAUGAUUUAUUGAAAGAAUUACUGGAAAUUGAUUUGUAUGCAUGUGUGUCAUGUGUGGAGAAGGACCCUCUAACUAGUCAUUCACCCUUAAAUCACCAAUUUCGUCCAAAGUAUUUAGAGUCUUUAAAUUUGUUUAGUUCUAGUCUUAAAUUCGUCAAAAACAAACCCCCUUUUGUAUUUAGUGUUUUUAGGUCAGAAUCUGUCCAAACGAGGUUCUUUUGAGUGUUUUAAGUCAAUAUAAGUUAGAGUUUGUUGUUGGAAAUGUGCCCUAAAACCAAUCAUAUGAUGAUAAUUUACGGGCAUUUCACAUGUUAAACUAAUCUAGCUUAAUAUCAAGGGCAAAGAUUAUUGUUUGAGCCGUCUCAUAUAAUUGUUAUACGCUUAAACGAUAAGUCCAAGGAAUAUGUGAUUGGGAGAAUGCGAUCUAAAGAAGUUAGA